rfam:Trichobilharzia regenti genome assembly, scaffold: TRE_scaffold0038114
AGCCUUCUGUAUCCGUGCUGAGAUUUCGUCAGAGAUCAACCCACUGGCGUUGGCUGAUGUAACUUCCCAAAUAAGUGAAGCG